GUAGGAGGCAAGCGUUAUCCGGAAUUACUGGGCGUAAAGCGCAUGCAGGCGGUUACGUAAGUCGGACGUAAAAGCUCCUGGCUCAACUAGGAGAGGCCGUUCGAAACUAAGUGACUAGAGGGUGAUAGAGGCGAGUGGAAUUCCCGGUGUAGUGGUGAAAUGCGUAGAUAUCGGGAGGAACACCAGAGGCGAAGGCGGCUCGCUGGGUCACACCUGACGCUAAGAUGCGAAAGCCAGGGGAGAGAACGGGAUUAGAAACCCCGGUAUUCCUGGCCGUAAACGAUGUCAACUAGGCGUAGGAGGUUAAUAAUCCUCCUGUGCUGCAGCCAACGCGAUAAGUUGACCGCCUGGGGAGUACGGCCGCAAGGCUA
rnacentral:rRNA from 1 species